UCUCUCUCUCUCUCUCUCUCUCUCUCUCUCUGUCUCUGUGCGUGUGAGAGCGCAAUCUCUUUAUCUCUCUCUCUCUUUCUCCCCCAUCUAUCCUUGCAGGUACUGAGGAAAGGCCAUGUGGGCAGGCAGCAAGAAGGCAGCCAUCUGGAAGCUAGGAAGAAAAUCCUUACCAGAACCCAACCAUUUUGGCACCCUAAUCUCAGACUUCCAGCCUCCUCGAAGAAAAUAAACUGCUGAACACCAUGUGGAAGCUGCUAAGGCUUAUGGCUUACAUUCUUUGAGGCAGUGACCUGACAUGUAACUGGAUCCCGUUUAGCCAUGGUUGAAGUUGGAUACUCCUUGCUCCUCAGAUUGCAGACGGCCUAUUGUGGGACCUUGUGAUCAUCAAGGCAAGAAGGCCUGACACGUUCAAUGUGCUCUAACCUCCUGCCAAGUAGUGUGCAAGGUUCAAGAGAUGGAAAAUUGGAAGCGAAAGUCCUUGGAGAAGCUCUCAUUCAACUGAAAGCAAAUAUGGAACAGAUAAGAAGGCAAGAAAAGGAUCAUCACAAAUAUAGCCUGACUGGAUGCUGUUUAGAGCAGUAGCUAUUCUAUAUCCUCACAUUCUCAGGUUCUAUAAUCUGAAAAUAGCUAAAUAAAAAUAAUAGCUGAGCCCAAA
ensembl:lncRNA novel transcript